rnacentral:rRNA from 1 species
UCCUGGCUCAGAACGAACGCUGGCGGCAUGCCUAACACAUGCAAGUCGAACGAGACCUUCGGGUCUAGUGGCGCACGGGUGCGUAACGCGUGGGAAUCUGCCCUUUGCUUCGGAAUAACAGUUAGAAAUGACUGCUAAUACCGGAUGAUGUCUUCGGACCAAAGAUUUAUCGGCAAAGGAUGAGCCCGCGUAGGAUUAGGUAGUUGGUGGGGUAAAGGCCUACCAAGCCGACGAUCCUUAGCUGGUCUGAGAGGAUGAUCAGCCACACUGGGACUGAGACACGGCCCAGACUCCUACGGGAGGCAGCAGUGGGGAAUAUUGGACAAUGGGCGCAAGCCUGAUCCAGCAAUGCCGCGUGAGUGAUGAAGGCCUUCGGGUCGUAAAGCUCUUUUACCAGGGAUGAUAAUGACAGUACCUGGAGAAUAAGCUCCGGCUAACUCCGUG